rnacentral:rRNA from 1 species
GACGAACGCUGGCGGCGUGCUUAACACAUGCAAGUCGAACGGAAAGGCCUCUUUCGGGGGGUACUCGAGUGGCGAACGGGUGAGUAACACGUGAGUAACCUGCCCUUGACUUUGGGAUAACUUCAGGAAACUGGGGCUAAUACCGGAUAGGAGCUCCUGCUGCAUGGUGGGGGUUGGAAAGUUUCGGCGGUUGGGGAUGGACUCGCGGCUUAUCAGCUUGUUGGUGGGGUAGUGGCUUACCAAGGCUUUGACGGGUAGCCGGCCUGAGAGGGUGACCGGCCACAUUGGGACUGCGAUACGGCCCAGAAUCCUACGGGAGGCAGCAGUGGGGAAUAUUGCACAAUGGGUGGAAGCCUGAUGCAGCAACGCCGUGUGCGGGAUGACGGCCUUCGGGUUGUAAACCGCUUUCGCUCAUGACGAAGCUUUGUGUGACGGUAGUGGGUAAAGAAGCACCGGCUAACUACGUG